rnacentral:rRNA from 1 species
GAUGAACGCUGGCGGCGUGCUUAACACAUGCAAGUCGAACGAUGAAGCCGGAGCUUGCUCCGGUGGAUUAGUGGCGAACGGGUGAGUAACAUGUGAGCAAUCUGCCCUUGACUCUGGGAUAACUGCGGGAAACUGUAGCUAAUACCGGAUACGACACCUUGGGGCAUCCCAGGGUGUGGAAAGAAUUUCGGUCAAGGAUGAGCUCGCGGCCUAUCAGCUAGUUGGUGAGGUAAUGGCUCACCAAGGCGACGACGGGUAGCCGGCCUGAGAGGGUGACCGACCACACUGGAACUGAGACACGGCCCAGACUCCUACGGGAGGCAGCAGUGGGGAAUAUUGCACAAUGGGCGGAAGCCUGAUGCAGCAACGCCGCGUUAGGGAUGACGGCCUUCGGGUUGUAAACCUCCUUUAGUAGGGAAGAAGCGAAAGUGACGGUACCUGCAGAAAAAGCACCGGCUAACUACGUGCCAGCCGCCGCAGUAA